rnacentral:lncRNA from 1 species
GUAAGAUCUGCAUCCUCCAUUGUGGAGAGUGAUAGUCUAUGUUUCCUGAUGUUCUGAGGUACAUUUGGGUUCUUUUUGGUGAUAGUAAGUAGAUUAUCAGUGAUUACAUUGUAGUAUAAAUUAGGGUUUAUAUGGUCAUCCAUUCUUCCAGUUUGGAAGAAAGAAUUGCUAAGUGGAAGGAGUUCAGUGCUGUCUGCUGCUUCCACGUUCUGUUUCACAGCUUCACUUUCAUGCAAACCAUCAACUAUUGUUUUGGUGGCCAUUGUCUUAAAAUGUGUUUUGUCAUUUGCAGAUUUAGUGACAUCAUAUAGAACAUCAACAUUUUCUUCCCCAGGAAUGGUAAGGCCUCUGUCAGUUAUUGUUACUUCAGCAGAAGGUAUACUACUACUUAAUUGGGAGAGAGACUUUGUGUUAUCAAUAGCCACAAGUGCAUUCCUUUCAAAGCCACUGUCUCUUGAUUCAAAGUACUUGAUAUUAUGUGCGGGUGGAAGGUUUUCUUUUAUCUUAAAAACAUCACCUUCUUCCACUAGCCGAAGAGCUGAUUCUUCUUCAUUAGCCAUUCCUUUGUCUAUCAAAUUUCCAAAUCUUUUUCUUGGUGUAAGAAUACUAAUUGUCUUUGCAGGCAGGAAGAUAAUAGCUACAGUAGGCCUUCCUUCUGGCAUGGUGGCCUUGUUAAUCAUCUGUUCAGAGCUGUCAGUCAUAUUUUUGGUCCCCUUACUUGCACUGGGAGUGGUAUUGUAUUCAUCAUUGGGAGAGGUGACAUCAGCUGUAAGGAAAGUAGAUGCCAAUGGAAUGUUCAAAGGAUCUGCUGAUACUUUAUUGAUUUUCCAUUUUUGUGUAAUGGCAUCAUUAACAAGACGAGGAUUUUCAGCCACAGGAUCUGAUACCCAAGCACCAGUCAAGGAAUUGCCUUUAAUUAGCAGGGAGUUUUGAGCUUGAUUAUUUUGGGCAUUGGGCUUAGGGUAGAUGAUUUAGCUACUGAGAGGAGAAUAUAUUCUUUGUUCAUAGGAAAAUCUGUUUCAGAGUUGAGACCUGCACCACCAUCAGCAUGGUUGUCAUUAGUAGAGAGACUAAUGACUUCAUCCACAGAGUCAGUAGAUUUUUCUGAAGGGGUGAUACUGACCUUUGAAGCUGAGGUCUUGUCAGCUACACUGUCUUCCCUGAAAUGGACAGAUCCAACAGUUACCGGGUGGCCAAUGGAAACCACAGGGGUGAUAUUGCUCUGGAAAGUGGCUGUUUUAAACACAGUAGCUCUUUCAACAUCCAUUCUGGCUUUGGCAUCAUUUGCAGUAAUUGUGGUGGGGGUUCUCUGGUCACCUCUGUUGUUAAUGAGGUUUGUGCUGUCCAUUGUGAAGGGUUUUAUUUUAUAUUUGAAUAGGGGGUUGAAUAUAACAGGGGUGUAAGAAGAGAGGAUGAUUUUGUUUCCUGCUGUUUGGGCAUAAUCUGCAUCAGGGCUGAGAGAGUAAGCUUUUCUUUCACUUUCUAUUGUGGAAGUGUCUGGAUGAAUGAAGAUGACUUCCUUUGCAAUUCCAUCAUCUUGGUCUAUAUUUGCGAUUUCUUGGACCACAGGAAUAACAUUCUCAAUUCCAUCAGUGUUCACAGACUUAAAAUUGUUCCUAUCGGUUUUGAGAUGUUCAUUGGCAGGAAUGUUAGAAAGGUACUUAAUUAUUGAAUUGUCUACUUUAGAUCCAAUUGCGUCAGCGAUAUUGUUAUUGUUGGUUGUUGUGAUAUUCUCCAUUUGAAUAAUGUGUCUGCCUUCUGUUAUUGCACCUUCCUUUGAAGGCUGAGUUAUUUUAAAGUUAAUGUUAGAGGUAGUCAUUGGCUCUAUGGGGUUAGGGUUAGCAUAAUGCUUUGUAGAAUUGAUGUGAUUUGUUUUGGAAAUAGUUAAAUCCUCCACAUGCAUAGUAUUUUUAGCUAUAUCUAAAUUGUUUUGGUAUCAUUGGAAUUACUAAUAACAUUAUUGCUUUUCUUAUACAUUAUAUAAUUAAGAAAAGAAUUUGUGGUGUUAAUGGGAUUGAUAUUGGAAAUAGUUUCAUCAAUGUUACUGGCAAUCAUGAUAGAUUUGGUAUCAGCCUUGUUGUAAGUACUCAGAUUAGGAAUAGAUCGAAAGUCAUUGCUGUUUUUUGCAGAGGAAAUGUUAGUUUUUUGAGCAUUAACUGUAGUUCUGCCGUGAUUCUUCAUGUCUGUGGCAUUGAUUAUAAUAGAAUUGUCUUUCUGUGGAAGAUCAGGAGCAUUGCUCACAGUUUUGCCAUAUCUUUCCAGAUAAGUAGUAUUAGUUAAAAUUAUGUGUUUGUCCUUCAUGUCAGGAACAUCAAGCAGAGUUGUAUAAUCUUCUAGAAUGUCUGUGGCAUCAGUUUUUGCUGUACUGUCUUCUUUCAUAAGGGUUGUACCGGUAAACGAUAUAUUCUCUGGUCCUGCUUCUUCCUCAUGAGUAGUGGUAUAAGUUUCAAAGAGUUUGCUUGCAUUUGAUUUAGUAAUGGCACUCUCAUCUGCAGAGGCACUGAAUUCAUUCUUAGUGUUUUGGAUGUAUGCAGCAGGAUUUAGGGCAAAGAAUAGUUUAGAUCUUGCAGUGGAUGGGAAGAAGUGUUCAAGAUUCUGAGUUUCUUUGGAGUCUGUCUGAAAGUGGGGAAUAGCAAUGGAAUCAGACUUAUACUGGUUUGUGGUCACGGGUAGAGGUGCUAAUAUGUUAUUUUCCCCAGAAAUAGUCAUCCUGCUCUGUAUUAAUCUGGAGUUGGGUACAAAUCUGGAAAUUGUGGUACUGACAGCAGGAGUAUCUUGAAUAACAGCAGAUGAAGGUGAGGCAUUGCUCUUUGGUGCCUCUGCCUGAGUAGAGUUGUCUCCUGUACCCUGAUCAUAAGCAAAGUUAGCUGAAGUCUGAUUAGUCGAAAGGUUACAUGGUACAUAAUCCCCAAAUGAAAGAAAGUUAUAUAUUCUAGCUUGAAGAGUCUCUGAGUAGUUUCUCUCUGAAAAAGGUCCAGAGAGCCUUGUUACUCUAUCAAGAGACUCAGGGCGGUUAUUUGAAGUGUCUGCAGGUGCAGAAUUUUCUUUUGUUCUUAGGAUGCAUGAGAGCGACUUGCUAUGCAGCUGUCUCAUGAGGACAAAGGUGGAUUGGCAGACUAAUGUUGAUUUGCCCAACUAUGUAUUUCCUGGCUCCCAUUAAACUAAAGGGAAAGAAGUUACAACAUUUUUGUGAGGUUCCCCUUACAGAUUAUAUUUUACUAAAAAGCCUGAAAUCAAUAGUCACAGCAUUAAAUUUAUCAAAUAAAGCAACAUUCUGAAGGUCUCUGCUUUCCUCUUUAUUGAUAGGUUGUUAAGUUAAUCAAGUUAGAAAUGCACAAUAUCGAUGUGAAAAGGAGCAGCUAAUAUGUUAGGGUUAAGUGCCCUCUGUAAGUAUAAACCCAGAGGUCCCAUGGCAAACUUUCAGAAAGGAAUCUUUUACAGUAUAAGAAGUAUAGAGAAGCCCCUUCAAAUUCUAUACUGUCAUGCAUUAUAACUUCUGUUAUCUUUACUUCAUUAUGUAUAUGAUUAAUUUUAAAUGAAAGAAGUUUGUAAAUAGAAAAUAGAAUAAUUAAAACAUGAUGAUGGCUUUUUGGGUUUUUUUUUUUGAGGAAGAUUAGCCCUGAGCUAACAUCCACCACCAAUCCUCCUCUUUUUGCUGAGGAAGAUGGGCCCUGGGCUAAUAUCUGUGUCUAUCUUCCUCUAUUUUAUAUGUGGGCACCUGCCACAGCAUGGCUUGAUAAGCAGUGCAUAGGUCCUCACCAGGGAUCAGAACUGGUGAUCCCUGGGCUGCUGAAGCAGAGCACACAAACCCAACCACUAUGCCAUUGGGCGAUCCUAGAAACACGAUGAUGUUUUGUUUAGCAUUUGUUUGUUUAUGUUAUCCUGCAUUAAACAUAUCCUGGUGAUCUAAAUCCAUUUUUUUCCCUCCAUGUAAUUUUUAGUUCCAUUAUGAUAUGGUUAUCCAAAAUACUGAAACUUACCGGGAAGUGAGAGACAAAAUUCAAGAUGGCCACAGUCAGGAUUAGGAUCUUCAUCUUGUCCUACUUAUUCCCUGCAACUGAGUUAUCACCAUUCAACUCUGCAUUAUCACCAAGAUCAACCUCAAAAUGAUGGCAUUUUCAAGAACUGAUCAAACAUGAUUCCCCCCAAUAAUUUACAGUUUAAGCAAGUAAAUGUUUGUUGAAUGAAUAAAUGUCAGAGUUCAAACAUGUAUACUUUUACUCUCAAUAUGGUACUUUUUCUGAAAUACUGAAACAC